UGUGCAAUAUAAAACGGAAUUAAAAAAUUGAAGUUGAAAGAGGCAUGGAGUGUGGCACAUGGACCUGGUCCAAUGAGGGAACAGUUUCUGGACUGUUUCUUUCUGCACCUCCACAUCUUCUUCUGCCACCUCCAUACACAACAUGAAAAUACAUUUUUAUCCUUUUUGUGUCACCCCAUAUAAUAGUUUUCGGGUUAUAUAAUCUGGAAAUUCAUUUGAAAAAAGACUUCCGGAUUACAUAAUCCAGAAGCUAAAUAAGACUUCCGAAUUAUGUAAUCCGAAAAGUAAUCAUGCAUCUGAAAAAAGAAUUUCGAAUUAUGUAAUCUGGAAGCUAAUUAUAAAUUUGAAAAAUGACUUAUGGAUCAUAUAAUCCGGAAUAUUAUUAAGGGGCAUUUUUAAAAAUUCGAAAAUAUAUGGAGGUGAGAGAAGAAUGUAUGGAGGUGCAGGAAGAAACAGUUCAGUUUCUGUUAUACAUUGGACAAAACCUUAACUGAAGAAGCCCAGAUUUAUGAACAAACAUAACCCAAAAUGUGCAAUAGAUAAGAGGCUUCUUCUUCCUGCAUCCCUACAUUUUUCUUUCUGCACCCCACAAUUUUCUAAAUCCCGAAACUGGUCUUAAUCUUUUAUUUGAAAAAGGAUACCGUGGUUACUGAAAAUAGGAAUCUGGGAGUGUGCUACGGAUUCAUCAAUCCGGAACUGAAUAUUUUUUUUU
rnacentral:lncRNA from 1 species